rnacentral:lncRNA from 1 species
UACAUUCAUGUAUAACUGUGAACAGUUAUAGAAACUGUAAAUUCAUGUAUAAAUCCGCCAUUGUAAAUCAAGUUUGUAAGAUAAUAGAAACAAUAUCUUUCACAUGUUAUCAAAGCCAUAGACUCCUCGGCUCAGAUCUGAGCUCGCCAACUGCAGAUUUGAAGUCGGGAAAUUUCAAGACCGUCUACCCUGUUGUUGGCUCAUAUUCGUUCCGGAAAUUUCGUCUGCAUCAAACUCUCUCUCUCUCUAGAAAAUACCCACCUCUCUCUCUCUAAGGUUCAGCGUUGCCGAGUUGACGAAUUUUACAGAGA